rnacentral:lncRNA from 1 species
UCAUUGUUGAGAUCCCUCCACCACUGUCCAAUAAUUAUGAGAUCUAGUUAAAGGAAGCACAACCCCAUUCACUAGUCAUCUCAGCUCCUCCCUGCUUCACCAUCGUCAUCCCUACACUCAAACCAUCGUGGAUCAAGUCCAAAGAGAUACAGUGAUGCGGCUGACUCACCGCCUCUCAUCAGACUUGAACUGUUCCAACAAAAAAACCAACGCCCAUCGCACCAAAAGGUUGAGAAGACUUGUCCAAUUGCACCCAUAAAGCGCCGACAUGGCUAGAGGCCAACGCCGACUGGAAUAGGCCACCAAUGAGAGAGGUGAAGGAAAAAAAAAUGAAAACCCAGGUUAGGGUUUUAAGAGAGAGAAUAGAACAUAGAGAAAAGUAAUGGAAAAUAGGCUCGAGACCCUAAACUUCUCUGUUACAGCUUGCUGUUU